GACGAACGCUGGCGGCGCGCUUAACACAUGCAAGUCGAGCGAGAACCAGGGCUUCGGCCCUGGGGACAGCGGCGAACGGGUGAGUAACACGUGGGUAAUCCACCCUCGGCACCGGAAUAGCCCGGGGAAACCCGGAUUAAUGCCGGAUGGCCCGCCGGCCCCGCGGGGCUGGCGGAAAAGGUAGCUUCGGCCUCCGGCCGAGGACGAGCCCGCGACGGAUUAGCUUGUUGGUGGGGUAACGGCCUACCAAGGCUGCGAUCCGUAGCUGGUCUGAGAGGACGAUCAGCCACACUGAGACUGAGACACGGCCCAGACUCCGACGGGAGGCAGCAGUGGGGAAUCUUGCGCAAUGGGCGAAAGCCUGACGCAGCGACGCCGCGUGGGGGAAGAAGGCCUUCGGGUUGUAAACCUCUUUCAGGAGGGACGAAGCCACUCGGGUUAAUAGCCCAGAGGGUGACGGUACCUCCAGAAGAAGCCCCGGCUAACUACGUGCCAGCCGCCGCAGUAAGAC
rnacentral:rRNA from 1 species